rnacentral:rRNA from 1 species
CGUGUAGGCGGCCGUGUAGGUCUGACGUGAAAUCUGGAGGCUCAACCUCCAGCUGUCGUUGGAAACCGCGCGGCUAGAGUCCGGAAGAGGAGAGUGGAAUUCCUGGUGUAGCGGUGAAAUGCGCAGAUAUCAGGAAGAACACCUAUGGCGAAGGCAGCUCUCUGGGACGGUACUGACGCUGAGACGCGAAAGCGUGGGAGCGAACA